rnacentral:lncRNA from 1 species
AUGAUGAGCAUGGCUCCUAUGGGUAGCAACCUGAUGCUGUCCUGCCCUCGAGGACAGGAGAUCAACAUCGUGUCAAUGGUUUACAGCAACAAGGGGUUUGAGAAUAAUGCUCAGGACUUCUGCAGCAGCAUUGCACCUCCAAGCUGUUUACAUCCCAUGUUAAUGCCGUUGUCAAAGUCUAUCUGUGAUGACCUGCAGGAGUGCAGGUUAGCUAAAUCACAAAAAAGAAUGUUGAUCUGCGAUCUCGACACCUUCACUGCCGUUUCAGCCUUCUACACUUGUGAGAACAAGUUUCCAGAUAAACGUACUGUCAUUGCCUGCAAGGAUCAGACUGCCGACUUAAAGUGUGAAAAGGGUGUUAUUCGCAUCAUCAAGUCCAAUUACGGACGUCUCGACCAGAACACCUGCACAGACACGCCUUCUGAUUACACCUUUUGUACAGCUGGAGGCUUUGGAGAAGAUGUGAAAAGCAUGUGCAACGGUAGAAAAGAGUGUUCAAUUCCAGGCAAUCCUAAAGGGAGGAUAGUGUUUUCAUACUGUGAUCAAUCCCCCAAGUAUGUGUACGUGUCCUACGUCUGUGAAGCAUAGGAUAAGUACACAAUGAACACCAACAGUUGGUGUACAGGUGACCUGAAGAUGGAGGAUUUCUCCUACAUCUGAAAGAGGAACUUUGUUCCGAAUCUAAAAAGUAAAAAACCCAAUUAAUAAAAGAGAGGAACUAUCAUCUGGG